rnacentral:rRNA from 1 species
CGGGACGGGUGAGUAACGCGUGGAAAACCUGCCGUAUACUGGGGGAUAACACUUAGAAAUAGGUGCUAAUACCGCAUAAGCGCACAGCUUCGCAUGAAGCGGUGUGAAAAACUCUGGUGGUAUACGAUGGUUCCGCGUCUGAUUAGCUAGUUGGUGGGGUAAUGGCCUACCAAGGCAACGAUCAGUAGCCGGCCUGAGAGGGUGAGCGGCCACAUUGGGACUGAGACACGGCCCAAACUCCUACGGAAGGCAGCAG